UUUCCGUAGGUGAACCUGCGGAAGGAUCAUUAAUGAAUAACCGACUCGCGAGGGCUGUCGCUGAACCCCAUGGCUAUGCACGCACGAUUGCCCUCACACACAUCCAUCUCACCCCUAUCUGAACCACCGCGUGGGUCCCCCUUUGGCUCGUUCGGCGGGGGGCUUACGUUUUCACACAAUAUUUGUAUGCAGCUUAGAAUGUAUUUUUUGUUUUUGCGAUCACGCAACCAAUACAACUUUCAACAACGGAUCUCUUGGCUCUCGCAUCCAUAAAGAACC
rnacentral:misc_RNA from 1 species